UUUAUGGCUCCAUUAAUCAGCUAUGGUUCCUUAGAUCGUACACGCUACAUGGAUAACUGUAGUAAUUCUAGAGCUAAUACAUGCCACUAUGCCCUGACCCGCAAGGGAAUGGGUGGAUUUAUUAGAACAGAACCAACCGGGGGCAGCUUCGGCUGUUCCUGUUGUACUCUGUGAUGACUCUGGAUAACUUUACUGAUCGCAGUCGGCCUUGUGUCGGCGACGGAUCUUUCAAAUGUCUGCCCUAUCAAUUUGAUGGUAGGUGAUCUGCCUACCAAGAUAAUAACGGGUAACGGGGAAUCAGGGUUCGAUUCCGGAGAGGGAGCCUGAGAAACGGCUACCACAUCCAAGGAUGGCAGCAGGCGCGAAAAUUACCCACUCCCGGCACGGGGAGGUAGUGACGAAAAAUACGGAUACGGGACUCAAACGAGGCUCCGUAAUUCGAAUGAGUACAAUUUAAAUCCUUUAACGAGGACCAAUUGGAGGGCAAGUCUGGUGCCAGCAGCCGCGGUAACUCCAGCUCCAAAAGCGUAUAUUAAAGUUGCUGCAGUUAAAAAGCUCGUAGUUGGAUCUGGGUUGUGCGUUUGCGCGCCUUUGCCUGUUCAUCUGACUCGGUCUCGAUCGGGGCUGGUGUUCAGGUUGGUGUAGUAAGCGUGCUGCCUUUCAGCCGUGUCUGUGCAAACGGGUGCUGACUGGGUUGAUGAGCUUGUCUUGUUGACCUGUUGGCAUGCUUCCAGAUGCCUUUAACCGGGUGUCGGGGGCGGACGGCAUCUUUACUUUGAACAAAUUUGAGUGCCUUCCAAAGCAA
rnacentral:rRNA from 1 species